CCUAAUCACCCUUGAAAAAUCAGAAGAUUUAGCAACACUGAAUGGCCAGUAUUUCCCCAUGGCUGUGACUAGGGUUCAUGGCAAUUAUGUCCUUGGGACAUGGCUGGCAGUUUUGAGUUUGCAACCCUUGCGAGACCAUCCUGUUCAUUUAUUUCUUUUUCUUUUUCUUUUUUCUUUUGGCUUAGAAAGCAGCAUGAGGAAGAACCUGCACCCCACCAGUGACAAUGCUGGAUCCUUAACUUCUAGGCAACUGGGAAGCUCCCAAUCAGUUCUUUUCCUACAGCUAAGGAAGUGAGGCCAGGAGAAGUCAAGUGACUCAUCCGUCCACGCUACUUUUUCUACCGUAAUACUUAUGUUGAUGCUCUUUCUAUAUACUCUAUCCCUAAGAUUUUUCCCAGAGAGGUUUGGCAAGUGAGCAUACAGUCUGAGGGGGAGACGAAGAUGAUAUCAGCCAGAGGAUAAGUUAGGGGCUCACUAACUGGAACUCAAGAAACAUGCAAAGGAAGUGAUCAGUGGGAGUGAAGGGAGAGCAAGGUGGGGAAUACGCACAAAUAAGAACAUACCUGAAGAGAUGAGGGAGAGUGAGGAGAAAGAGCAAAGGAGGCAAAGAAUUCAUCUGCUCCUACAAAGAUGUUCACAUUCCCAGAAAAGGAGCACUUGACAGAAGAAAGGAGGCUGCCGCAAACCAAUGCCAAAGUCAAAACUCAUCAGAAAAAAAGAAUUAGAAAUUAUAAGAGUUCUCCUCCAGAUUUAUUUGAAAAAAAAAAAAGUGUGAAGAAAAACAGAGGAGCCUUCUCAGGGUUGCCUGAGAAAUUAACAGAAGGAGAUCAAAACAAUUAUCUGAAAGACUAAAGCUCUGCAAGGAAAAAAAAAAAAAAAAGAGUUGAUAUUUAAGGUCAGCAAAAUUUUGCUUAGGAGAAAAAUGAACCAAGGCUGUCUCCCAGGGCUCUUGUCCUUAAAAGGCUGGAAGAUCUCAGGACUGGUACUUCCGCAAGACUACAGAAGUUGUACCAAAUGGGAGGAAAAUCUGCAGGUUGGCUACGCAAGAAGACUUCCAUCAGUAGUCAAGAAAUUUGUAUGGCGUCUCUUCCAGGACUGGAGACUUCUUGCUCUACAGGUGAGACCUUUUCCAUCCUUUCUGCUUCUCUGCCCCCAGAUCUUUGUGUGCAUGAGUAGAGAUCAGCUCCUUUCCCAUUCCCCUAAAUCAUAAUCCAUUUUCUGUCCCAGGAGCCAGGGUUGUUGUGUUGAUUGUGUGAGUUGUACCCUAUACAAAAGGGCUCACUUAAGUGGCAGCAUGCAGAAGGGGUGGAUAGAGGUUGAAAUCUAGCUCAGGCUCCCCUCACCAAAUCCUGUGUUGGGGGAAGGUGCCUUUUCCUAACUCACACAAAGGUACCGUAUGAGCUAGCCACAGCCAUGCCACAUCUGACACUAUAAUAUUCUUUUUUUUUUUUGUCUUUUUUUUUGCUAUUUCUUUGGGCCGCUCCCGCGGCAUAUGGAGGUUCCCAGGUUAGGGGUCUAAUUGGAGCUGUA
rnacentral:lncRNA from 1 species